rnacentral:rRNA from 1 species
ACGGACCAAACUCCUACGGGAGGCAGCAGUGAGGAAUAUUGGUCAAUGGCCGAGAGGCUGAACCAGCCAAGUCGCGUGAAGGAAGAAGGAUCUAUGGUUUGUAAACUUCUUUUAUAGGGGAAUAAAGUGGAGGACGUGUCCUUUUUUGUAUGUACCCUAUGAAUAAGCAUCGGCUAACUCCGUGCCAGCAGCCGCGGUAAUACGGAGGAUGCGAGCGUUAUCCGGAUUUAUUGGGUUUAAAGGGUGCGUAGGUGGUGAUUUAAGUCAGCGGUGAAAGUUUGUGGCUCAACCAUAAAAUUGCCGUUGAAACUGGGUUACUUGAGUGUGUUUGAGGUAGGCGGAAUGCGUGGUGUAGCGGUGAAAUGCAUAGAUAUCACGCAGAACUCCGAUUGCGAAGGCAGCUUACUAAACCAUAACUGACACUGAAGCACGAAAGCGUGGGGAUCAAACAGGAUUAGAUACCCUGGUAGUCCACGCAGUAAACGAUGAUUACUAGGAGUUUGCGAUACAAUGUAAGCUCUACAGCGAAAGCGUUAAGUAAUCCACCUGGGGAGUACGCCGGCAACGGUGAAACUCAAAGGAAUUGACGGGGGCCCGCACAAGCGGAGGAACAUGUGGUUUAAUUCGAUGAUACGCGAGUAGCAAUAGCAGAUUACGAGGUGCUGCAUGGUUGUCGUCAGCUCGUGCCGUGAGGUGUCGGCUUAAGUGCCAUAACGAGCGCAACCCUUAUCACUAGUUACUAACAGGUGAAGCUGAGGACUCUGGUGAGACUGCCAGCGUAAGCUGUGAGGAAGGUGGGGAUGACGUCAAAUCAGCACGGCCCUUACAUCCGGGGCGACACACGUGUUACAAUGGCAUGGACAAAGGGCAGCUACCUGGUGACAGGAUGCUAAUCUCCAAACCAUGUCUCAGUUCGGAUCGGAGUCUGCAACUCGACUCCGUGAAGCUGGAUUCGCUAGUAAUCGCGCAUCAGCCAUGGCGCGGUGAAUACGUUCCCGGGCCU